AAAAGUAGAACCUAAUCCAAAUAAAAAUAAGCAAACCGAUAAAAGGACUGUGCUACCCAAUUCCUCCACCAAAAUAUAACAAUCCAAAACCCAAGCCAGUUGAAGGUCAACACAAAACUAAUGAAGAUAAAGCACAUUCUUCAAGCAAUAAAAAAAGAUUAAGUUUUGUGUCCAACACACUUGGAUGAGACGUGCCCGACCCCUGACUUUGUGUACUGCAUUAAGUU